GCCUGAGGGCACGAGGGCUGGCUGCCUUCCCGGAAAACACAGUUCUCUGCCUGGCCUGUCCUUGAGCCCAGGCCCAGCUCUGUCCCAUGGCAGGAUCCGCAGCGAGUAAGCCACCCUACUCCCGGAGCUGGGGGAGAACCAGCUUCCAGUCCCAGGAGACCUCCCCUCCAGGAUGGGGACCCGGGCCACCUCUCCAGCUCUGUUCUGUAGGAGACUCGCUAGUGGCUGGGUCUCCAAGCCAGACCUCUGGGGCUGUCCCUGGGAACUGUGGGUCCCAAGGACCCAUGUGGUUGCGUUCCCAGUCGGGGCGGGGGUGCCUCUGGAGAGCUCCUUCUGAGGAGGGACUUUGUUUUCAGGGAAGAAGGCAGCGCAGAGGUUUCCUCUCCUCCAGAGUGGGCCUUCUCCAGCCUGUCUCUGCCAGGGCAGGGGGCACAGGGUGGACCAGGCCCGGGUCCCUCUCCACUGCCCCCACUGCUCUGUCUUUGUGCUGGGAGUGCUCAGCACAGCUUGUGUGUGGUGGAUCCCCAGGAGACCUGCUGUGCCCUGGAUCUGACCACAGUGAGCAGAAAGCCUUUUUCUCUGGGAGAGCCGUCGGAUAGGCCUGCUGGUGGAAGGGAAGGCUGACACUGAGAUGCGCAGGAGGAGCACUUGGCACUUCCAGAGUCUGGAUUCUCUGUGUGGCUGGACAAGGGCUUUCAGGGACCCAGGAGGAGGCCUGGCUGCCAGGAAGGGUGGGGCUGCCAGGCACCGCCCAGCUGCAGUGUGACCCCGCCAGUCCCGGAAACUCUCCAAACCUUGGACCUCAGCGGACAUCCGGCAGCUCGGAAGGGUGGCGGCGAGGCUGCCAGGGGGAGCUGAGGGUGUGUGGGAUGCGUCUGAGGUGAGACGGAGAAAGCAACAGCCGUUUUUCUUCCAAUUCUGCAAUCAGAAGGCUCUGGGCAGCCUUCGAAAAUGCUUUUCACCCCGGGAUGUUGCCAUGCAUCCUAGACUUACUAAUUAAAAAAAAAAGUUACCACUCGUUGAAGAGUGUUUACCAGGUGCUGGGCACUCGCCAAGCUUGUUAACCUACCUGAAUCCUUCAACACCUUAAUGAGACUAGACUCUUAUCAUUAUAUCCUUUUCAUAGAUGCAGAAUCUG